ensembl:lncRNA
CCGCCGUCCUCGUGAGUCAUCGCCUUCGGCACCCGCAGCCCCGUGCCGGCGGAAAGGAGGUCAACGCCGAAACGGGCGGGCGCGGGCGUAUCCCGGGCUGCCCCUCGCGCCGUCAGCCCGACGGAAGGAACGCGGCCCGCCGCCAAGAAACGCGCUGCCUUCCGAACGGCCCCACAACGAGCGCGCUGCCCCACGGCACCGCCGCGCUUCGUGCCGCACGCCAGCCGCGCUGUGUGUGACAGCGCCCCAGCAGAGCUGAUUCAUCGGCUCGCUCCAGCCGUCACCUGACGCUCGGAGAUGCCUUUUCUAGCGACAAUAGCAACUGAGGAGGAGCUGCCGUGGUGGAAACCCUGUGCCGACAGCUUCCUCCCGAGGGAGACAGAUGCACGAUGCAAGGCUGCGCUCCUCCAGACAUCAUCUCAGCCAGAGGAAGAACGGCCGCAGCAGCAGCUGCUCUGCGCCCCACCGAAUAAUUUAAGUUCCUUUCCCAUUCGUCUCAGCCUCACCCCUACAACACAGAGGAAUGAACGCACACCGCUUCUGCUUUCCAACCUCUGACGUCCACAGCAACCGAGCUGUCAUAGAGACAGCCUCGCACCACGCACAUUUGCUCAGUUCAGGAGACUCUGUAUUUCAAGAAGGCCCAGCAGUGCUGCUGAGUGCGAGGCAGCGUUUAAUCGAAGCACAAGGGUACCGUGUUUUCCCACGUUGCACUUCACAAUGCUAAUGUGACAAGAAGGACGCAGGAGCAGCCUAUGGCAGCACCAGCUCUAUUGCCACACGGCCUGCAAUCAGCCUCUCCACUCGGGAGCGCACGGCCCUCAUCCCAUCCUGCUCCAGCAGGGAGAUGGCAAGCCAUUCACACUACAUUGCUCGGCUGUCCAUAAAACAUUUCAUUUCUGUAUGUUUCUUUUAAAAAAGGCAGAAAAAGACACCUAUCUGGAACAAUGGAACACAGGAGAGAUGGCAAGGGGGGAGCAGAGGGAAUCAAUCGCUGGCCACAACUCUGAAAAUCCCUGCUUAUGAGGUUUGCAAGUAUUUACACCUCAUAAGGGUCCUUCAAGUUGUAUGUCCUACACUCUACAGUCUUCAAAUCAAAUACUUUGCAUUUGGAGACUCUUACCUCCGCUCCACAGAACAUUCAGAUCCAUCUCCUAUUUGUAUGCCCUGUUUGAGAGGUACAUAAAUGACCUACAAAAGGGGCGGACAGCAGUCUUGCAGUUGGCAGAUAAUUACUCAGAAUAGCAAAGGGGAAAAAAAGAUGGACUGAAAAAGCUCCCAACAUGCCUAGUGAAUUGCAGCUGUAAAUUUAGCUCCUAAAGAGACACACGAGAGAAAAACAAAUCUUAGCAUAUGCUAGAAACCAGGUUUUGGAGCUGCCAAAAGGGAACAAGACCUCACAGCUCUAACAGUAUGAGAUUAUCAGCUGCAUGGUGGCACAGCCCAGGAUUUUGGAAUACGGGCCCAGAUUACAUAACUGGGCCAUAGCAGGGAGAGGACGAGAGUCAGCCCCACAGAUACCAGUCACAUGUGUAUGAGAACCAGGAAUAACGUCCUAUUACCACACAGUUCGUUUUCUUUUUUUUUUGGUUGUUUGUUUUUAACAUUAAGAUCAGCAAAAGAUCAGCAAAAUCAGCCCAGCAGCGCGAUUUGUGCCUCUCAAAUCAAGUUUUCAUCUAUUUUUGCACAGAUGUCACAAAUAAUCUUUUCCAUAGCUGGUCCCCUGAUUAACAGUCCCAGUUUUGUAUUCUUUAGGAUUACAUUCAAUAAAUACAUCUACAACAAUUCAUUUAGAACCAGUCCAUUUUUGUUGAGACCACUUAAAAGAGGGGGGGGAACGUGCAUCUACAAGUUUUAAAUGGGGGAAAGCUAUGAAACCAGCAGUAGAAAGGUAGGCCAAACUUGGGGAAAGAGACAGUCAAACUAAAUUCGAACUUCAAUCAACUGAUCUGGUAUUACACAGCAAAAGCAUCAGAGCUAUAAUGGCAGCUUGUACACCCUCAUUCUGACUUAGUAGUACUGGGGAGUUUCACUAGUUAGUAGCCUUUUGUAAUACUUCAACAUUUGAGUCUGGAUCAGCACCUGAGAACACAUAGCUUCACAGUUUCAAGCUAACAGAUACGUUCACUGCAAGUGUGUAGCCAUGCUUUCCCCAGUACAAGAGCAAUAACUGAGGAAGGCUUCCCAUAGCUGGCUGCCCAGCACCCCGACAUUCACACACGUUGUUCUUGUCUGCAGAGAGCAACUUCCAAUAGAACCAUACAACAGCCAAAAUAAGAGUCAGUAAAAAAAGGGAAACCCUGGGAUAAUUAGACAGCUGAUACAUACUGAAGAGAAACUCGAUGGAAGGUUACAGCACAUGAGUCUGGGGGUACGCACGGCUUCUGAUGUUGUUUUUUAAAUAGCAGAGCUAGGGCCAGCUUGCGCUACACAGAAUUUCUAUUCCACGGCAUCUGCUAUUCAACACCGUGGGUCACUCACCGACAAAGUUACAAAUUCAGGAACAAAACCCCCUACAAAGCAACCUGAAAGCUCCUGCCUGGAGAUGGAUCACAAGACUCUGACUCAGAAUCCAACAACAGAGGAGAAUGGUGGAGAUCCCCACUCCUGCCAACCCCCCAUGCAGAGUGCUACAUGAGGCUCAGCAGGAAGCAUCUUCAGACGAGGGACUCGGGAUCCCAGACCAACGCCUGAGCCCAGCGCCAGAGCUUCAGAAAUGCAGAUGCCUUCACGGCUGUGCGUUAAGACCACCCUCACCUGAGGGAACGUUACUCCAGGCUGUUAUGCAGAAAAAAACAACUCCACGUACAGCCUCCUUCAGCGGGCUGUACGGACAUGCCGGGCCAGCCCAGCAACCCCCCG